rnacentral:lncRNA from 1 species
ACAAGUGCCGGCAGAACAAUUUUUCCGGCGAGCGCGUGACCCCACGCGCCGGCGCAUGAGCCUCUUUCCGGCCACUUUUUGAAAAAAUAUCUUGAGGACAGUUGGAUCGCCUCACUUUUCCGAGCCUACCCAUAUUUUUACUUUUCAAUUCCGACCACUUUGAAUUUUUUUCGGCAUCUACAGUGAAUUUUCCGGCAACUACAGAAAUUUUUCCGGCAAACACAGUUCUUUCAGCAAAUUGUCAGCUGAUUCUUUUUUAUUAUUUGGUAAUAAUCCAACCAUGUCUUUGGGAGUUGAUGCUUUCGGGCCUAAAAACCCGGCUUCUGGCAAUUCCGGUGUUAUGAUUACCUCAAAACCUUUAAUGGGAGGUUCCAACUACUUGGCUUGGAUUUCGUCUGUCGAGUUGUGGUGUAAAGGUCAAGGUGUUCAAGAUCAUCUAAUCAAGGAGUCUAGUGAAGGAGAUGAAAAAGCCAAAGUACAUUGGGAAACCUUUAAUGGGAGGUUCCAACUACUUAGCUUGGGCUUCGUCUGUCGAGUUGUGGUAUAAAGGUCAAGGUGUUCAAGAUCAUCUAAUAAAGGAGUAGUGAAAGAGAUGAAAAAGCCAAAGCACAUUGGGAGAAGAUCGAUACUCAAUUAUGCAAUAUUUUGUGGCGAUCUAUUGAUUCCAAGUUGAUGCCCUUGUUUCGUCCAUNNNN